rnacentral:rRNA from 1 species
GACGAACCGUGCGAACGUUGUUCGGAAUCACUGGGCUUAAAGGGCGCGUAGGCGGGCUGCCGAGUCCGGGGUGAAAGCCCCCCGCUCAACGGGGGAAGGGCCUCGGAUACUGGCGGCCUGGAGGCGGGUAGGGGCGGGCGGAACUGUGGGUGGAGCGGUGAAAUGCGUUGAUAUCCACAGGAACUCCGGUGGCGAAGGCGGCAAACUGGAUAGGAACUGACACUCAACAACGAAAGCGUGGGGAGCAAACAGG